rnacentral:siRNA from 1 species
AUGACUGGUAAACCAGCGGGUGCG